rnacentral:rRNA from 1 species
GGGCCCGCACAAGCGGAGGAACAUGUGGUUUAAUUCGAUGAUACGCGAGGAACCUUACCUGGGUUUAAAUGGGAAGUGACAGGCUUGGAAACAGGCCCUUCUUCGGACACUUUUCAAGGUGCUGCAUGGUUGUCGUCAGCUCGUGCCGUGAGGUGUCGGGUUAAGUCCCAUAACGAGCGCAACCCCUAUCGAUAGUUACCAGCACGUAAUGGUGGGGACUCUAUCGAGACUGCCGGUGUAAACCGUGAGGAAGGUGGGGAUGACGUCAAAUCAGCACGGCCCUUACAUCCAGGGCUACACACGUGUUACAAUGGCCGGUACAAAGGGCAGCUACACAGCGAUGUGAUGCUAAUCUCUAAAGCCGGUCUCAGUUCGGAUCGAAGUCUGCAACCCGACUUCGUGAAGCUGGAUUCGCUAGUAAUCGCGCAUCAGCCAUGGCGCGGUGAAUACGUUCCCGGGCCUU